UACGUAGGGUGCAAGCGUUGUCCGGAAUUACUGGGCGUAAAGGGCGCGUAGGCGGUCUUGUAAGUCUUGUGUGAAAUCCCUCGGCUUAACUGAGGAACUGCACGGGAUACUGCGAGACUUGAGAUCGGGAGAGGGAAGCGGAAUUCCGGGUGUAGCGGUGAAAUGCGUAGAUAUCCGGAGGAACACCGGUGGCGAAGGCGGCUUCCUGGACCGACACUGACGCUGAGGCGCGAAAGCUAGGGGAGCAAACGGG
rnacentral:rRNA from 1 species